rnacentral:rRNA from 1 species
GACAGAGGGCGCAAACGUUGUUCGGAUUUACUGGGCGUAAAGCGCUUGUAGGCGGCUUUGCAAGUCGGAUGUGAAAUCCCACGGCUCAACCGUGGAAGUGCGUCCGAAACUGCAUCGCUGGAGUCUCGGAGAGGAAGGUGGAAUGCUUGGUGUAGAGGUGAAAUUCGUAGAUAUCAAGCAGAACACCUGCGGCGAAGGCGGGCUUCUGGACGAUGACUGACGCUGAGACGCGAAAGCGUGGGGAGCAAACAGG